UACGUAGGGUGCGAGCGUUAAUCGGAAUUACUGGGCGUAAAGCGUGCGCAGGCGGUUUUGUAAGCCAGAUGUGAAAUCCCCGGGCUCAACCUGGGAAUGGCAUUUGGGACUGCAAGGCUUGAGUGCGGCAGAGGAGACUGGAAUUCCUGGUGUAGCAGUGAAAUGCGUAGAUAUCAGGAGGAAUACCGAUGGCGAAGGCAGGUCUCCGGGCUGACACUGACGCUCAUGCACGAAAGCGUGGGGAGCAAACAGG
rnacentral:rRNA from 1 species